UACGGUCAAAUCACGCUGAAACACCGGUUCUCGUUCGAUCACCGAAGUUAAGCAUCGUAGAGCCAGGUCAGUACUUAGAUGGGGGACCGCUUGGGAACACCUGGUACUGUAAG
rnacentral:rRNA from 1 species